GGAUACACAUAUAUCCCUGGUUCAGUACUCAGGUGAUGUGACUCUCCUGCCUGCUUCUGCCUACAGGCACAGUAUCCGACAACUGGGAUUGCCACUCUCACACAUGGACAAAGCCCACAGGUGGGGACUGGUGAGAGGUGGAUGAAUUAUAGAGAUGGAUUUCUCAUGGCUCUGUGCUGUCCUUGUCACACAGAGGCCCCUUACUGGACUUGGACCGAGUGGAUGGACAGGAAACCACCAACCAUGGUGGCCACCCAAACCAACUUUCACUGCCUUACUCUUGAAACCCCACUCUCUCCAUCUCCUGGCUGAAGAACCACAAGAGCUCUAAGGAGAGCAUCACAUCAGCAUAUGGAGGGCUUCUGGACAGCCAGAUGCAGCAAAAUGGAAAUCCACUGCAAAUUCUCUAGCAACUUAGUAUGUGGAGGUGAACAUCAGCAAAGUGGGUGUCAACGGCAUGCCCUAUGUCACCAUGCUCAGGGGAGAUGCUGCUGCUGGCCAGGAGCAUGGGGAUAGCAGGCCUGAGGCUCCACUUUACAGAACUCUACCAUCAUUAUAAAAGUUUUGGAGUAGCCUAUGAAAGACAGAACAUGUCAUCAGCUAGGAGACAAAAUCCUCUACAGUGAGCAGUUAUCCUGGAUAUAAACUUGGUGCUGGUUCAUUUAGCAUCUGUGAUGAACCAAUGUCUAAAAUGAGAGUCAGUUUCUCCUAAAGUAAGAUUACAUGAGUCAACCGAUAAAAGUGGGAAUCACUCCUGUGAGUAUUGUCCCUCAUAAUUCAUUCAAAAGCAUUUGCUUCUGUCUUUGCAGCUUUAUGCUCUCCAAAUUCCCACACCGAGUAAAAACCUCCUUGGCAAGCUUAUAAUCAAUCUCACAUAUUUAACAAUUUGGAUUUUAUAUUAAGAUCCACUAUAAAAUAUGGAAGAAAAUCUGUUUGAUUUACAGUAGAUGUAAAAUAGAAAAACUAGAAUGGGCUACUCUGCACAUGUAGAAUUAGUUCCUUUUAUAUUUAUGAGUUUUCUACCAACCUGUAUUUAUUACACCAAAAAUAAUGCU